rnacentral:sRNA from 1 species
UACCAACCGACCAUGGAAUUAGCGUGAC